GCUUACAGCUAUCUUGCAGUCAAUGAAACUAGCUAUUCCAGCAUGUCUAAUUCAUCGCGCCGUACCGCCUUGCAUCGUAUUCAUAACGAGCGUUUUGAUCCGGACAAAAAGAGCGAUGGAAUUAGCUCUGCGUGUCCUUUCGAGAAACUACUGCAAGGGGAUCCUGCUGGAGAAUUAUUGCAGCAUCUGCAAGGAGUUGGUCUGGAAGCAGUUUGCAACGCGCUUGAUAUUGCCCGGAAUAUUGCUGCUCUGAAAAAAUGGUGGCAUCUCAUCCCAUCCCACGCGAGAAAACACAUUUUUCGUUGCUGAAUCCACGUCGAACAAGUCUUAUGUUCAGGUCGACGCAGUCACGACUAACGGACGUAUUGGGUGUGGCAAAACUUGCCAGAUGUUUCGUAUGCAAGGAUUCUGUGAGCAUACGUUUUGCGUCGCCAUGCCAUGCAUUUGAAUGUUAUGCCAAAGUUCGUUGAGUGGUUCAACAAACGCAGCGAUACCGAGAAGGGCCGGCAUGGGCUGCAGUCUUAUAUGAAAUCUGGUGUACCCAAGGGAGCUGGGUCGAAACCGCGUAAAGGUCCACAGAAACGAAAGCCACCCGUUACCACCCUUUCUUCAAAGUCUGCAGUGAGUGGUAACAAACCUAACGAUCUCCGUCAAGCUUCAACUUCGCGCACCGAAAAGAAACCACUGGAGUUUGGAUGCAAAUUCGUACGUUAAAUCAUGCAUCCAAACCGUCUCCCAUUCCAAGCCAGUAUGAAAUCUGGAAACUAGUUGAUUGCCACAAACAAGUGAGUUCUUGCUGUGGAUGCGGCGGAAAGUUUGCUCGCGACAGAGAUGCUCCGGAUGAUCUGGUAUUUGUUACGCGUGGACCACGUUCGUUCAAAAACCCAGAAACCCACCAGUUUGAAGAGCAACAGAGAAAUGUAUACCUUCACGUUAACAAGGCUUGCGUUAACCUAUAUGCCUCAAAACAUCCAGGGUCAGAGCCAAAAGAAUAUUUGGUCAGCCCUAGCACAAAGGCUAAGCUAGGAUCGGUAUAUGCAAAAGUUUUGGAAAGUGCCAUCACUUUUUAGCUGCACUAUGGUAGCCAUUAGUAGGGAAAUAUUUGUCAUCUUUUCAAUAAUUUUUUGAUCGAGUUGUGCUUCAUUUUGUAAUAAUUCGGCAUUGCGGUUAGCGCACUAUUAUUAUUUGAUACUGGUUGUGGGGAAGCUUCUAUAAACUGAAAUCAUAACCAGCAAAUUUUUUCAUAUCAUCCUCUUGUGGUUUUGAUCGCGCGAUUACAUAUUUUUGUAUUAAUAAUGCAACUUAUGGCAUGAAUGUUUAGUUAAAAGUGCGGCUUCAUGGCUUUGUUUUCUUUAGGUAAUCGUUGUUUGCUGGC